UGGCACAGUUGCUAGCGCAUGGCGCUUGCAAUGCCAGGGUUGUGGGUUCGAUUCCCAC
rnacentral:tRNA from 1 species